CUGAAGAUGAGAUAAUUUAUUGUAUCCUAAUUAUUCUGUAUUUGUAUUUAUGUAGGUCAUAUAUGAACUAGUCUAAAAUGUUGCCUGCCAUGUCCGCAAAGUAUUGUUCAAGUCCAUAUACAAUAUAUGAGAUAAUACUUUAUAGCCCCAGCUCUAAAUAUUGUCUUCGUUUUUGUGUUUCAUAUAUAUUUAACAAACGGGUUAUGUUAUUGUGAGUUUGAUGGGAUGCUACUGAAAAAUAUAAAUGAAAAAAUGUAUGAAAAUGAGGUAUUGGAUCUUCCAUACAACCAGGAUGUUGGUGACUACUUACAGUUCAAGGUAUUUUAUGCUACAUUUAUAACGUGUGAUCCAUACCUAAUAUUCAGAAAGUUUACAUCAGAUGCUAUUAUUUUCCAGAAUAAUAAUACUGCAGACACAGAGGAGCUAGAGUUGAUGAGCAUGUUAGGUUUUCUCACUUGUUUCUACUUGUUAACUUUCUUAACUAGACGAAUAAAAUUAAGAUGAAAUUAUGCUAUAUAAAUUGGGUAUCCCUAUUUAGUGAAAAUGAUUGUAGAAUAUGGCAACAUACAACUAUAGGUCCUACAUUCGUUAUAGUAUGAUGAACAUGUAACAAAAUUAUAUCUUGACCAACAAAAUAGCUAGUCAAGGAUAUUUGACUUGAACGGCUCCUUGAUCAAUGUGACCAAAUAAAUCCAUAACAAGUAUUAGUCUGAUCAACACCUAACCAAGUACUAAUUUGUGAAUGUUCAUCACAUACGUGUCUACAACCCCUAAUAACUUCAUAUCAAUAUACGAAAUACACAUCGAGAAACAAAAAAAAGAGAAAUUGGACAUGAAUAGUGUCAAAAUGAUACUAUUCACAUAUGGAUUUCUCUUUGUGUAUUUCACAUUUUGAUCUGAAUUUUUUAUGGGAUGUGCACAUAUAUGAGAUGAACAUUAAAAAGAAAAUCAAAAUAUUUUGACACAUCUAAAGUGGAAUUUGUCAACCUUGUAUCAUUUUUGCACAUGAAUGAUGUUAUCAUGUGAUAUUCUCCCUAGUGGCAGCAUACACACGUUGCAAGUAUACUAAAAUGUCGUUAUUUAUUGAAAAUUAAUUGUUUAUGUUUUCAUAGCUCCUCCUAAACUAAAAUUUACAAGCUUGAUGAUCGUAGGGAUGUUUGGGAUGAGAGAGAUAGGCAUCGAGUUUUGUUAGCGCCUGGUUAGAAACCAUUAGUUGCCCCUGCAGACGAGGUAAUUUAUUGUGUCCUAAUGCUUCGGAAUUUUGAUUUAUGUAGGUCAUAUCUGAAGUAGUCGAAAAUGUUGUGUGCCAUGUCCGCAAAUUAUUCUUCAAGGUCAUAUACAAUAUAUGAGAUAAUAAUUUAUAGCCUAGGCUCUAAAUAUUGUCUCUAUUUUUGUCUUUCGUAUAUAGACGGUUAUGUUAUUGUGAGUUUGAAUGUAUGCUACUGAAAAAUAUAAAUUAAAAAAUGUAUGAAAAUGAGGUAUUAGAUCUUCCAUACAAUCAGGAUGUUGGUGAGUACUUACAGUUCAAGGUAUUUUAUACUACAUUAUAUCGUGUGAUCCAUGACUAUUAUUCAGCAAGUUUACAUCACAUGCAAUUAUAUUCUAGAAUAAUAAUACUGCAGACACAGUGUUGCUCCUAUAGUACCAGGUGACAAUAUAAGUGGUGAAGUAGAGAGGAGCAAGAAUUAAUGAGCAUGUCAGUUUUUCUCACUUGUUUCUACUUGUUAACUUUCUUAACUAGACGAAUAAAAUUAUGAUGAUAUUAUGCUAUAUAAAUUGGGUGUCCCUAUUUACCUAAAAUGAUAGUCAAAUAUGGCAAAUUACAAUUAUAGGUCCUCCAUUCUUUACGGUAUGAUGAACAUAUAACAAAAUUAUAUCUUGACGAACACAAUAACUAUUUAAGGAUAUUUAACUUGAAUGGCUACUUGAUCAAUGUGACCAACUAAAUCCUUAAUAGAUAUUAGUCUGGUCAACAGCUAAAGAAGUACUAAAUUGUGAAUGUUCAUCACACACAUUUCUACAACCUCUAAUAAAUUCAGAUCAAUAUACGAAAUACACAAAGUGAAAUCAAAAAAGAUAAUCUGAACAUGAAUAGCAUCAAUGUUACACUAUUCACAUAUGGAUUUCUCUUUGUGCAUUUCACAUUUUGAUCUGAAUUUUUUAGGGGAUGUGCACAUAUAUGUGAUGAAAAUUAAAAAUAAAAUCAAAAUAUUUGAACUCAUCUAAAGUUGAAAAUUUGUCAACCUUGUAUCACGUUAGCACAUGAAUGAUGCUAUCACGUGAUAUUGUCCCAAGUAGCAGCAUACACACAUUGCAAGUAUACUAAAAUGUUGUUAUUUAUUGAACAUUAUUUUUUGAUGUUUUCGUAGCUCAUACUGAACUAAAAUUUAUGUGCUUGAUGAUCAUAGGGAUGUUUGGGAUGAGAGAGUAGACUUUGGGUUUUGCAGCGCUAGCUUACAAAUCAUUAGUUGCCCCUAAAGAUGAGAUAAUUUAUUGUAUUUUUAUUUAUGUAGGUCAUGUAUGAACUAGUCUAAAAUGUUGCUUUCCAUGUCCGCAAAGUAUUGUUCAAGUCCAUAUACAAUAUAUGAGAUAAUACUUUAUAGCCCCAGCUCUAAAUAUUGUCUUCGUUUUUGUGUUUCAUAUAUAUUUAACAAACGGGUUAUGUUAUUGUGAGUUUGAUGGGAUGCUACUAAAAAAUAUAAAUGAAAAAAUGUAUGAAAAUGAGGUAUUGUAUCUUCCAUACAACCAGGAUGUUGGUGAAUACUUACAGUUCAAGGUAUUUUAUCCUACAUUUAUAUCGUGUGAUCCAUACCUAAUAUUCAGAAAAAGUUUACAUCACAUGCAAUUAUUUUCCAGAAUAAUAAUACUGCGGACACAAAGGAGCUAGAGUUAAUGAGCAUGUCAGGUUUUCUCACUUGUUUCUACUUGUUAACUUUCUUAACUAGACGAAUAAAAUUAAGAUGAAAUUAUGCUAUAUAAAUUGGGUAUCCCUAUUUAGUGAAAAUGAUUGUAGAAUAUGGCAACAUACAACUAUAGGUCCUACAUUCGUUAUAGUAUGAUGGACGUGUAACAAAAUUAUAUCUUGACCAACACAAUAGCUAGUCAAGGAUAUUUGACUUGAAUGGCUCCUUGAUCAAUGUGACCAACUAAAUCCAUAAUAAGUAUUAGUCUGAUUAACACCUAACCAAGUAAUAAUUUGUGAAUGUUCAUCACAUACGUGUCUACAACCCCUAAUAACUUCAGAUCAAUAUACGAAAUACACAGCGAGAAACAAAAAAAGAGAAAUUGAACACGAAUAGUGUCAAAAUGAUACUAUUCACAUAUGGAUUUCUCUUUGUGUAUUUCACAUUUUGAUCUGAAUUUUUUAUGGGAUGUGCACGUAUAUGAGAUGAACAUUAAAAAGAAAAUCAAAAUAUUUUGACACAUCUAAAGUGGAAUUUGUCAACCUUGUAUCAUUUUUGCACAUGAAUGAUGUUAUCACGUGAUAUUCUCCCUAGUGGCAGCAUACACACGUUGCAAGUAUACUAAAAUGUCGUUCUUUAUUGAACAUUAAUUGUUUAUGUUUUCAUAGCUCCUCCUAAACUAAAAUUUACAAGCUUGAUGAUCGUAGGGAUGUUUGGGAUGAGAGAGAUAGGCAUCGAGUUAUGUUACCGCCUGGUUACAAACCAUUAGUUGCCCCUGCAGACGAGGUAAUUUAUUGUGUCCUAAUGCUUCGGCAUUUUGAUUUAUGUAGGUCAUAUCUGAAGUAGUCUAAAAUGUUGCAUGUCACGUCCGCAAAUUAUUCUUCAAGGUCAUAUACAAUAUAUGAGAUAAUAAUUUAUAGCCUCGGCUCUAAAUAUUGUCUCUAUUUUUGUCUUUCAUAUAUAAACGUGUUAUGUUAUUGUGAGUUUGAAUGUAUGCUACUGAAAAAUAUAAAUUAACAAAUGUAUGAAAAUGAGGUAUUAGAUCUUCCAUACAACGAGGAUGUUGGUGAGUACUUACAGUUCAAGGUAUUCUAUACUACAUUAUAUCGUGUGAUCCAUGCCUAAUAUUCAGCAAGUUUACAUCACAUGCAAUUAUAUUCUAGAAUAAUAAUACUUCAGACACAGUGUUGCUCCUAUAGUACCAGGUGACAAUAUAAGUGGUGAAGUAGAGAGGAGCAAGAAUUAAUGAGCAUGUCAGUUUUCUCUCACUUGUUUCUACUUGUUAACUUUCUUAACUAGACGAAUAAAAUUAAGAUGAUAUUAUGCUAUAUAAAUUGGGUGUCCCUAUUUACUGAAAAUGAUAGUGAAAUAUGGCAAAUUACAAUUAUAGGUCCUCCAUUCUUUACGGUAUGAUGAACAUAUAACAAAAUUAUAUCUUGACGAACACAAUAACUAGUCAAGGAUAUUUAACUUGAAUGGCUACUAGAUCAAUGUGACCAACUAAAUCCUUAAUAGAUAUUAGUAUGGUCAACAGCUAAAGAAGUACUAAAUUGUGAAAGUUCAUCACACACAUGUCUACAACCUCUAAUAAAUUCAGAUCAAUAUAUGAAAUACACAAAGUGAAAUCAAAAAAGAGAAUCUGAACAUGAAUAGAAUCAACGUUACACUAUUCACAUAUGGAUUUCUCUUUGUGUAUUUCACAUUUUGAUCUGAAUUUUUUAGGGAUGUGCACAUAUAUGUGAUGAACAUUAAAAAUAAAAUCAAAAUAUUUGAACUGAUCUAAAGUUGAAUUUGUCAACCUUGUAUCACGUUAGCACAUGAAUGAUGCUAUCACGUGAUAUUGUCCCAAGUAGCAGCAUACACACAUUGCAAGUAUACUAAAAUGUUGUUAUUUAUUGAACAUUAUUUUUUGAUGUUUUCGUAGCUCAUACUGAACUAAAAUUUAUGUGCUUGAUGAUCAUAGGGAUGUUUGGGAUGAGAGAGUAGACUUUGGGUUUUGCAGCGCUAGCUUACAAAUCAUUAGUUGCCCCUAAAGAUGAGAUAAUUUAUUGUAUUUUUAUUUAUGUAGGUCAUGUAUGAACUAGUCUAAAAUGUUGCUUUCCAUGUCCGCAAAGUAUUGUUCAAGUCCAUAUACAAUAUAUGAGAUAAUACUUUAUAGCCCCAGCUCUAAAUAUUGUCUUCGUUUUUGUGUUUCAUAUAUAUUUAACAAACGGGUUAUGUUAUUGUGAGUUUGAUGGGAUGCUACUAAAAAAUAUAAAUGAAAAAAUGUAUGAAAAUGAGGUAUUGUAUCUUCCAUACAACCAGGAUGUUGGUGAAUACUUACAGUUCAAGGUAUUUUAUCCUACAUUUAUAUCGUGUGAUCCAUACCUAAUAUUCAGAAAAAGUUUACAUCACAUGCAAUUAUUUUCCAGAAUAAUAAUACUGCGGACACAAAGGAGCUAGAGUUAAUGAGCAUGUCAGGUUUUCUCACUUGUUUCUACUUGUUAACUUUCUUAACUAGACGAAUAAAAUUAAGAUGAAAUUAUGCUAUAUAAAUUGGGUAUCCCUAUUUAGUGAAAAUGAUUGUAGAAUAUGGCAACAUACAACUAUAGGUCCUACAUUCGUUAUAGUAUGAUGGACGUGUAACAAAAUUAUAUCUUGACCAACACAAUAGCUAGUCAAGGAUAUUUGACUUGAAUGGCUCCUUGAUCAAUGUGACCAACUAAAUCCAUAAUAAGUAUUAGUCUGAUUAACACCUAACCAAGUAAUAAUUUGUGAAUGUUCAUCACAUACGUGUCUACAACCCCUAAUAACUUCAGAUCAAUAUACGAAAUACACAGCGAGAAACAAAAAAAGAGAAAUUGAACACGAAUAGUGUCAAAAUGAUACUAUUCACAUAUGGAUUUCUCUUUGUGUAUUUCACAUUUUGAUCUGAAUUUUUUAUGGGAUGUGCACGUAUAUGAGAUGAACAUUAAAAAGAAAAUCAAAAUAUUUUGACACAUCUAAAGUGGAAUUUGUCAACCUUGUAUCAUUUUUGCACAUGAAUGAUGUUAUCACGUGAUAUUCUCCCUAGUGGCAGCAUACACACGUUGCAAGUAUACUAAAAUGUCGUUCUUUAUUGAACAUUAAUUGUUUAUGUUUUCAUAGCUCCUCCUAAACUAAAAUUUACAAGCUUGAUGAUCGUAGGGAUGUUUGGGAUGAGAGAGAUAGGCAUCGAGUUAUGUUACCGCCUGGUUACAAACCAUUAGUUGCCCCUGCAGACGAGGUAAUUUAUUGUGUCCUAAUGCUUCGGCAUUUUGAUUUAUGUAGGUCAUAUCUGAAGUAGUCUAAAAUGUUGCAUGUCACGUCCGCAAAUUAUUCUUCAAGGUCAUAUACAAUAUAUGAGAUAAUAAUUUAUAGCCUCGGCUCUAAAUAUUGUCUCUAUUUUUGUCUUUCAUAUAUAAACGUGUUAUGUUAUUGUGAGUUUGAAUGUAUGCUACUGAAAAAUAUAAAUUAACAAAUGUAUGAAAAUGAGGUAUUAGAUCUUCCAUACAACGAGGAUGUUGGUGAGUACUUACAGUUCAAGGUAUUCUAUACUACAUUAUAUCGUGUGAUCCAUGCCUAAUAUUCAGCAAGUUUACAUCACAUGCAAUUAUAUUCUAGAAUAAUAAUACUUCAGACACAGUGUUGCUCCUAUAGUACCAGGUGACAAUAUAAGUGGUGAAGUAGAGAGGAGCAAGAAUUAAUGAGCAUGUCAGUUUUCUCUCACUUGUUUCUACUUGUUAACUUUCUUAACUAGACGAAUAAAAUUAAGAUGAUAUUAUGCUAUAUAAAUUGGGUGUCCCUAUUUACUGAAAAUGAUAGUGAAAUAUGGCAAAUUACAAUUAUAGGUCCUCCAUUCUUUACGGUAUGAUGAACAUAUAACAAAAUUAUAUCUUGACGAACACAAUAACUAGUCAAGGAUAUUUAACUUGAAUGGCUAGUAGAUCAAUGUGACCAACUAAAUCCUUAAUAGAUAUUAGUAUGGUCAACAGCUAAAGAAGUACUAAAUUGUGAAAGUUCAUCACACACAUGUCUACAACCUCUAAUAAAUUCAGAUCAAUAUAUGAAAUACACAAAGUGAAAUCAAAAAAGAGAAUCUGAACAUGAAUAGAAUCAACAUUACACUAUUCACAUAUGGAUUUCUCUUUGUGUAUUUCACAUUUUGAUCUGAAUUUUUUAGGGAUGUGCACAUAUAUGUGAUGAACAUUAAAAAUAAAAUCAAAAUAUUUGAACUGAUCUAAAGUUGAAUUUGUCAACCUUGUAUCACGUUAGCACAUGAAUGAUGCUAUCACGUGAUAUUGUCCCAAGUAGCAGCAUACACACAUUACAAGUAUACUAAAAUGUCGUUAUUUAUUGAACAUUAAUUUUUGAUGUUUUCGUAGAUCAUACUGAACUAAAAUUUAUGUGCUUGAUGAUCGUAGGGAUGUUUGGGAUGAGAGAGUAGACUUUGGGUUUUUUAGCCCUAGCUUACAAAUCAUUAGUUGCCCCUGAAGAUGAGAUAAUUUGUUGUAUCCUAAUGCUUCUGUAUUUUUAUUUAUGUAGGUCAUAUAUGAACUAGUCUAAAAUGUUGCUUGCCAUGUCCGCAAAGUAUUGUUCAAGUCCAUAUACAAUAUAUGAGAUAAUACUUUAUAGCCCCAGCUCUAAAUAUUGUCUUUGUUUUUGUGUUUCAUAUAUAUUUAACAAACGGGUUAUGUUAUUAUGAGUUUGAUGGGAUGCUACUGAAAAAUAUAAAUGAAAAAAUGUAUGAAAAUGAGGUAUUGGAUCUUCCAUACAACCAGG
rnacentral:lncRNA from 1 species